UACGAAUGGUGCAAGCGUUAAUCGGAAUUACUGGGCGUAAAGCGCGCGUAGGUGGUUCGUUAAGUUGAAUGUGCAAGCCCCGGGCUCAACCUGGGAACUGCAUCCAAAACUGGCGAGCUAGAGUAUGGCAGAGGGUGGUGGAAGUUCCUGUGUAGCGGUGAAAGGCGGAGAUAUAGGAAGGACCACCAGUGGCGAAGGCGACCACAUGGGAUAAUACGGAAACGGAGGUGCGCACGCGUUGGGAGCACACAGGAGGCGAUAACACCGGAGUCC
rnacentral:rRNA from 1 species